rnacentral:rRNA from 1 species
GACAGAGGGGGCGAGCGUUGUCCGGAGUCACUGGGCGUAAAGCGCGCGCAGGCGGCAACCUUAGUGUCGUGUGAAAGCCCCCGGCUCAACCGGGGGAGGCCAUGGCAAACUGGGUCGCUCGAGCUGCGGAGAGGCCCCUCGAAUUGCCGGUGUAGCGGUGAAGUGCGUAGAGAUCGGCAGGAAGGCCAAGGGGGAAGCCAGGGGGCUGGCCGCAGGCUGACGCUGAGGCGCGACAGAGUGGGGAGCAAACCGG